UCAAACAUGCUAUAAUCACUUUGCAAACAAGUGAAGAUGGUGGCUAUCCUGGAAAGGUGGUGGUGCCGAUGAUUUCAAAAUCAUGACCCCAAACAUCCUAGGAAAGGAGAAGCCUGAUGUCUGUAAUGGACGUCUUAACGCUGCUGAUAGCGUUUGGAAUACUUAUUCUGACGUUUAUUGGCAUCGUCA
rnacentral:sRNA from 1 species